UUAAAUUGAAGAGUUUGAUCAUGGCUCAGAUUGAACGCUGGCGGCAGGCCUAACACAUGCAAGUCGAACGGUAACAGGAAACAGCUUGCUGUUUCGCUGACGAG
rnacentral:rRNA from 1 species